rnacentral:RNase_P_RNA from 1 species
GAAGUCGGCUGGACAGUCGCUGCCUCUGCCCGAAUCGGGCAGGGCGGAGGAAAGUCCGGGCUCCGAAGGGCAGGGUGCCAGGUAACGCCUGGGAGGUGUGAACCUACGGAAAGUGCCACAGAAAAUAUACCGCCUCGGGUACGGUUUCGGCCCAACCCGCGGUAAGGGUGAAAUGGUGCGGUAAGAGCGCACCGCGCUCCUGGUAACAGGAGUGGCACGGUAAACCCCACCCGGAGCAAGAUCAAAUAGGGGGAUAGGGUUCUUGAGACCGGCGUGUUGCCCGCACGAUCCCCGGGUAGAUUGCUAGAGGCGCACGGUGACGUGCGUCCCAGAUGAAUGACUGUCCAUGACAGAACCCGGCUUAUAGGCCGACUUUUCUU